AUGACCGUGACGUGGGACGAGCCAGCCAACUCCCUAAACCUCAACACUCUUCUCUGUGAGACGGAGGUAAGCACAAUCUGCAUCACAGAAUCAUUCUGUUGGGUCCUGCCCAGAACACCAGGUGACUUAUCCCAACAAUGGUGCCAUAUUGGAACCUCUCGAGAAGGAAUAGGCAUCUUGGGCAGAGGUGUCUCCCCUGCUGUGCAGACGGGACUCAUCCAUCCCAACUUCACGUCUAGCAUAAAGAAGUUUUUUUAAAGCCAUCUUUGCAUUUGGUUUUUCUUUCUGACUGAGGAAAUGGUAGCUUCGGUGACUGUAGAUUAUAGCAAGGAAUCCUGACAUCGGUUACAGAACUGGAUGAGGCCAGGCUGGGAAGUAAGAACGUCAGGGGAAUGGAGAAAUUGACUUUGAAUUCCAGUCUGAGAACUGAAAGAGACUGUGCCCGCCAGGCUUGUCUUGAAAUGUGGGCGUCCACUCUCUAAGCAGCUGUAGAAUUUCGGUACCCAGGACCUGGACAGUGAGUCCUCAAGAACAGAGCAGGAGAUGUAAGAUGCUAAAGGAAGGAGAGGUGUGGGGCCCUGCGGGCUGCCAGCUUGGAGCCCGUUCCCACACCGGGGCUGCGUUUUAAGUGCAGAUCUGAUCACUUUACUCCUUGCUUAAUGGGACCUUGCUCAUCAGCCCUCCUGGGCCCUGGGAUAAUAUUAUGCCGCCUUCACAGAUGUCUGGAAAGGCCCGUCCCUGUCUAGCGCGGCUGGUCUCUGCACCUUCCCUCAAGUCUGCUUCCUUUCACCUGUAAGGGGUUUGACCUGCUGAAGUGCUUGACCUCCAAGAGCUUUCCCUGCCCCCUGUGCCAAAGGAGGAUCGCCCUUGGUACCCAUGGUUCUGCUCCUUCAUGACCUUCUCAGUUUGUAAAUUAUGCAUUUUUUUCGGAUUCCCUUAUCCCCAGCAAGACUGCAUAAGCUCCCCCAAAGCUGGAAUAUAGUCUGUU
rnacentral:lncRNA from 1 species